UACGAAGGGGGCUAGCGUUGCUCGGAAUCACUGGGCGUAAAGCGCACGUAGGCGGAUCGUUAAGUCAGGGGUGAAAUCCUGGAGCUCAACUCCAGAACUGCCUUUGAUACUGGCGAUCUUGAGUUCGGGAGAGGUGAGUGGAACUGCGAGUGUAGAGGUGAAAUUCGUAGAUAUUCGCAAGAACACCAGUGGCGAAGGCGGCUCACUGGCCCGUAACUGACGCUGAGGCACGAAAGCGUGGGGAGCAAACAGG
rnacentral:rRNA from 1 species